GACGAACGCUGGCGGCGCGCCUAACACAUGCAAGUCGAACGGAGCUGAGAGGAGCUUGCUUUUCUUAGCUUAGUGGCGAACGGGUGAGUAACGCGUGAGUAACCUGCCCUGGAGUGGGGGACAACAGUUGGAAACGACUGCUAAUACCGCAUAAGCCCACGGUACCGCAUGGUACUGAGGGAAAAGGAUUUAUUCGCUCUAGGAUGGACUCGCGUCCAAUUAGCUAGUUGGUGAGGUAACGGCCCACCAAGGCGACGAUUGGUAGCCGGACUGAGAGGUUGAACGGCCACAUUGGGACUGAGACACGGCCCAGACUCCUACGGGAGGCAGCAGUGGGGGAUAUUGCACAAUGGGGGAAACCCUGAUGCAGCGACGCCGCGUGGAGGAAGAAGGUUUUCGGAUUGUAAACUCCUGUCGUUAGGGACGAUAAUGACG
rnacentral:rRNA from 1 species